GAACUGUGGCUCAGUGGUAGAGCGCUCACCUAGCAUGUGCAAGGCCCUGGGUUUGAUCCUCAGCACCA
rnacentral:tRNA from 1 species